rnacentral:rRNA from 1 species
UACGUAGGGGGCAAGCGUUGUCCGGAAUCAUUGGGCGUAAAGAGCGUGUAGGCGGUCCUGUAAGUCCGCUGUGAAAGUCAAGGGCUCAACCCUUGAAUGCCGGUGGAUACUGCAGGACUAGAGUCCGGAAGAGGCGAGUGGAAUUCCUGGUGUAGCGGUGAAAUGCGCAGAUAUCAGGAGGAACACCAGUGGCGAAGGCGGCACUCUGGGCCGGUACUGACGCUGAGGUGCGAAAGCGUGGGGAGCAAACAGG